AUACGGAGGAUCCGAGCGUUAUCCGGAUUUAUUGGGUUUAAAGGGUGCGUAGGCGGCCUUUUAAGUCAGCGGUGAAAGUCUGUGGCUCAACCAUAGAAUUGCCGUUGAAACUGGGAGGCUUGAGUAUGUUUGAGGCAGGCGGAAUGCGUGGUGUAGCGGUGAAAUGCUUAGAUAUCACGCAGAACCCCGAUUGCGAAGGCAGCCUGACAAGCCAUGACUGACGCUGAUGCACGAAAGCGUGGGGAUCAAACAGGAUUAGAUACCCUGGUAGUCCACGCAGUAAACGAUGAUCACUAGCUGUUUGCGAUACAGUGUAAGCGGCACAGCGAAAGCGUUAAGUGAUCCACCUGGGGAGUACGCCGGCAACGGUGAAACUCAAAUGAAUUGGCGGGG
rnacentral:rRNA from 1 species